UGUUCCUGGAGUUCUAUGUAAAAAUGUUAAUUGAACUGCUAAGUGGUUAAAAUGUUUUAUAUGGAGUCAACACAAUUCUAUUAUGGUGUCAAAUAUAGAGUUCUCAUGAAUUUUUCAGAUGGUAGUGGGAGACUUCAAAAGAAAUUUGUGGAGGUUUUUUAAAGCUACACUUCUAGAUUCCCCUAAAGGCUCAUGUUUUCCUUUCCUGCCUAAAGGACAUCAGUGGAAAGAUCUGAGCACCCAAGUCCACAGGAUACAGCCAGAACUUACUGGCAUAGAUUUGAGAGCCCACGUUUGAUGCACAUAGAACUACUUGCUAUUUUUCCUCUUCCCUUUGCCUGGAAGGUUUCUGUCCUUUUCCAUCUGAUAUACUACUCAUCCCAAAAGGCAGAAGUGCGAACCAUUUUGCCUGGCACAGUACUUGACCUUGGGGGCACAAUGAAGAUCAGGUUCAAGAUCAAGGUGGUCCCUGCCCUGUGGUGCUUUUAUGGAGGAGAGUCAGGACUUUCUAAGAUGGGUUUCUCAAAUGAAAGAAAGGAAGUGACUAAAAUGACAUAGCAGAAGGAACCAUAUUCAGAGAGCUGGAAAGUCUGCAUUCUGGUUCCAGACGAUUUGGACAUUGGUGUUUUCAUGGGUAAAAGGAGGAAGUUGGACAAAAUGACCCCUACACUCUCUUCCGGCUCUGGGAUCCGGGUGAGUUAUUCUGUGAACUUAGGCAAAUUAUUUAUUUGCAGACCUGAGUUUCCUCAUUAGUCAAAUGAAGAGGCUGGGUUGGAUGCCUUCUCUGGUCCAUUUCCUUUCUGAGAAUUUACACAAUCCCAAUGACCUGCCCAUGGUCAUUGCUACUCUUUGAUGUACUUUUUUUUUUUUUUUUUUUUUUUUUUUGACACAGUGUCUCGGUCUGUUGCCCAGGCUGGAGUGCAGUGGUGCGAUCUCGGCUCACUGCAACCUCCAUCUCCUGGGUUCAAACAAUUCUCAUGCCUUAGCCCUCUGAGUAGCUAGGAUUACAGGCAUGCGCUACCAUGCCCGGCUAAUUUUUGUACCUUUAGUAGAGACGGGGUUUCACCACAUUGGCCAGGCCAGUCUUGAGCUCUUGGCCUCAAGUGAUCUAUGCCCCUCAGCCUCCCAAAGUGCUGGGAUUACAGGCGUAAGCCUCCGCACCUGGCCCUCUGAUGUGCUCUUAUGCAAGCCACAACUUGGCCCUCCAGGUUGCAGCCUCAGAGACCACAGACAAUAGGCUGUGGCUUUUCUUCUCUCUGUUUGGUUUUUCGACUGCAUGCUCACAAAUGGGCUAGUGGCGGCUUGGCAGUGAAACCAAUCCUUCCAUCAAGAGGCCUUAGGUGGUGAGCCAGGAUUGCACACGGCUAUACCUUCCCGGUUCCUGAGGAUUGGUGUCCCCCGCAUGUUUAAAGGUGUAGCCAGACCUAUGCAGCUUUUUCCUCGCUGUCCUCAGGCACCGAGUACUCCAGAUAAACUCAUUGGCAGUCUUUCCCCAGGAAGGGCUCCAUGCGCUCCUCUCUCACUCUUCCUCCUGCCUGAGAUGCCUCUCUAUGAUCUUUUCCUUGAGUAUUUACCUGAAAUGCCUCCUCCUCCAUAAAUAGCCCUUCCUUAUCUCCAAAAUCACCAUCAAUCUCUCCUCUGAAUUCUUUUCACAAGUGGUAUGCAUCUAUUUUUAGAUAUUAUCAGUUUGUCUUUUAAGCUCGCUUGCUUCUUGUCUGUCAAGGGCUGGGUGUCUGUUAAUGUAUACGGUGCCUCAUACUAGCAGGCAUUCAACGAAACGAGCACUGCCGUGAUUUAUAAGGGACUUGUAGACAUCUAUUCUUCCUUCAGGGUUUUAUUUUGUUUUGUUUGGGUCUAAGUGGAAAAUUUGGGCAGAAACACAUUAAAGUUGAGGCUUUGAUAUGAGUCCCCAAGGGGCCCUGCCUCCCUGUUCAGCCCUGAAUUUUGAAUAUCAUCAUCACCAGGAUCCGUAACAACAGUCUCCUAAACAAAAAACCCAAUUGUGAGCCUCCCAGAGGCACAGGUUUCAGUGAAUUGAAGGAUUCAUUAGAGAUAGUGAGGCAUAGUAGUUAAGACUAGGGCCUCUGCUGUCAGAAAGAACUGGGUUCAGAUCCUGUUAUGGCCACUGGUAGGCUGUGUUACAAGUUUCUUAGCCUCUCUAAGCCUCUGGUUUCUUAUGUAGAAAAUGGAAUGCUAAUACCUUUACCCUGAGAUGGCUUCACAUUGACCGAUGUGGAGCUCUUAGCACAGAGCAUGGCUUCAGGAAUGGUGGCCCACCACGCGGACACGUGUACUCACCCCCCUGGAGCACCUUAUACUCUGAGGGUGUUCCUAGAAAUGGCACUAAUGGAGUUAGAUACCUGACAAGUGGCACAGGCAUGUUUGAAAGGCUCGGAGCAAGAAGUCAAUGCAUUUUGUCUUUUACAAGGGGCUUUUACCUGUGUCAUCUCAUGAUUCCACAUGACACUGUACAGGCUGGGCAGGGCAGGUAUCAUCAUGCCCAUUUUUCAGAGGAGAAACCUUAGGCUCAGAAAGGUUGAGUGUCUGGCCCAGUGAGGUGGUUCAUACAGCUAGACUGUGUCCCUGAGACUUAAACCUGGGUUUGCUUGUUUUGCUACAACUCCUCUUUCCACAACAACACCCUGGGAUACUCAAGAGGAGUGGAACUUUGCUUUGGGACUUGGUGACAACGAGACCUGCAUACAUAAGGAAUAGGGUGACUGUCCCAGGCAGGCACAUUUUACAAACAGGUGUAGAGUGAGGGAGCAUCAUGUCGGGCUCUAGGAGAAAGAAUUAGACAUGUAUCACUGAGUAGGGGAGUUCAUGUAAGAGUAGCAGAAAAUGGCUGGGUGUGGUGGCUUCUGCCUGUAAUCCCAGCACUUUGGGAGGCUGAGGCAGGUGGAUCACCUGAGGUCAGGAGUUCAAGACCAGCCUGACCAACAUGGUGAAACCCUGUCUCUACUAAAAAUACAAAAAUUAGCUGGGUGUGGUCGUGGGCACCUGUAAUCCCAGCUACUUGGGAGGCUGAGGCAGGAGAAUCACUUUACCCGGGAGGUGGAGGUUGUGGUGAGCCGAGAUCACACCAUUGCACUCCAGCCUGGGCGACAGAGUGAGACUCUCAAAAAAAAAAAAAAAAAAAAGUAGUAUAAAAUAAUGGAAUUAAGAUUGAACAUAUUCUGAAAGGUCUCCACUGCCAAACUAAGGAACUAGGGCUCUAUUAGGCCAUGAGGAGCCACUGAAACUCCCUUCCCAGAGGAAGGACAUGGCACAAUUCACAGGGCAACAGAUGGUGAGGACAACAUGGUGGCUUCCAAACCUUACUCACUAGGAAUGGCUGAAGAAACUGAAUGUUUGACCUAGAAAAGAGAAGACUUUGGGGAGGGAAGGCGUAUUCGCCAGACUUGGGGGACAGUAGAAUCAUUGUUGGACCAAGGAAAAGACUGCUUUGUUUUAUGUGGUCUCUGUGAGCAUCCUGGGGAGCAGUGAAGGUCAGUGGGGUGAAAGCUCUAGAGAAAUAAAUGUUCAGUUCAGAUAAUGAAGACCUUUCUGGUCCUUUCAGUGCACUUUAACUCAAGUUUUUAAAUUCAUGUAUUUGUUUGUUUUUUGUAAAUAUGAGGUCUUACUAUGGUGCCCAGGCUAGUCUCAAACUCCUGCCCUCAAAUGAUGCUCCGCCUUAGCCUUCCAAAGUGUUGGGAUCACAGGGGUGAGCCCCUGCACCUGGCCAAACCUGAGUUUUGUGAGAGCCCACCUGCGAAGCACUGGAAGGAAACAGGGACUGGUACAGACAAAAAUCUCUGCCCUCCUGGAACUCAUAUGAAAUGGGGGGAAGAUAGGCCUUAAACAGAACCACCCUAGAAAUUAAUGUUAUAGCCAGAGCUUUUCAAGUACAAGUAUGGGCUGCUUUGAGAAGUGUAAAAUCCGGCCAGGCGCAGUGGCUUAUAUCUGUAAUCCCAGCACUUUGGGAGGCCAAGGGAGAGCAGCCUGGUCAACAUGGUGAAACCCCAUCUCUACUAAAAACACAAAAAUUAGCCAGGCGUGGUGGCAGGUGCAUGUAAUCCCAGUUACUUGGGAGGGUGAGGCAGAAGAAUCACUUGAACCCAUGAGGCGAAGGUUGCAGUGAGCUGAGACUGCACCAUUGCACUCCAGCCUGCUCAAGAAGAGUGAAACUCCUGUCUCAAAAUAAAAUAAAAAAUAAAUAUCCCCCAUCCUAGGAGUUGUCGAGAGACAUGUGUCAUGCUUGAAAGGGCUGGAUGACUUCUCAGAAGAUUCUGUGUCUCUACACGUGUUGUGAAAUCUUCAACAAUCCUAAAUCCCUUAAUUAGAGGGAGAGAAAAGGCAAG
ensembl:lncRNA